CUGUGGCUGCCAUGGCUGCUUUCCACCGCCACGGCCCCUGCCUCUGGCUGCUUUCCACUGGCCCAGCCUCACACUGCAGAGUACAACUCUCUUCUGCCUUCAAUAAAUCCUGACCUCCUUCUCGAUGGCCUGAAAUGGAGCAAGCGCGUCAUUUCACAAAGCAGGAGAAACAGCAGGGAGAGAUGGAAACACGGUGACAGACACCUGGGCAGACUUCUCCGGAAGUGUAAAUAAAAUGCCCCGAAGAUCAACAAUACAAAGUGCAUGGGAAUAACACCUGGGCAGUGCCCGGCUAAAUCCACACCAUGCGGGCGGCCGCCAGAGCGGCCUGCAAGAAGGGAAUUUCCGUGUUACUCUUGGGGAAAAGCAGCUCCUCCUGUGACGAGUCAGUGCUCAGCCU